ensembl:rRNA 5S_rRNA 5S ribosomal RNA
GCUUACGGCCAUACCACCUUAGGCACGCCCGAUCUUGUCUGAUCUCGGAAGUUAAGCAGGGUCGGGCCUGGUUAGUACUUGGAUGGGUGACCGCCUGGGAAUACCAGGUGCAUUAAGAA